CAACCAUCAUUCUGCUUUCUAUCUCUGUGAGUUCGACUACUCUUGUGCUUCCAUCUGUGACUUUCUUUGGAAGAAUGACCUUGUGCUUUGGAGCCACUUUGCAUGGACACAGAGAACUUGCAGUGCCUGGGAGUUUAGUCCUACCGUCCUCACCUAUGAUCCUGUCCCUGCGUCAAGGAAGCUUAGCUGGUGACUGACCGGUAUGAGAAAAUGAAGAAUCAGGCUUAUCAUCUUCCUAAAGGUCACCCAACCACAAAGUGGUGGACUUGAGGUUGAACCCCAAGUCUCUCCCUCUCAUCUGGUGCUUCACAGUUUUCUAGAACUUAAGAAGGGGCCGUGUGUUGUGGUAGAAAGAAUCUGCAUGGCCAUUUGCUGGUUUCAUCACUGGUACCUUCCUGGCUCAGCUUCCUCAUUCCUGUGAUGGGGACUACAAUGCCUGCACAGAGUUGGCCUAAGUAUUGAAGAAC